CCCACGCAGCCUCGGUUACCCUCUCCGCCACCCGCUGGACCUCGGCUUCCAGGGCCCUGCCUCGCUACAGAGUGCUGAUUGGUGUGUUUUACAAUCCUCUUGUAAAACAGGAAAGUUCUCCAAGUCCCCACUCGACCCAGGAAGUCCAGCUGGCUUCACCUCUCAUUGAGUUUGCAGGAUGGCAGGUAAAAAAAGAAAUAACUUGCUAAAACGCUGAAACUGCCUCCACUUGUAACAAAACUGCCUAAAAUCUGUGAGAACCCACAUGGCCAAAUGGAGUUUGUGCAGAAUGAGCUUGCUGAUGUCACAGUGCAAAUUUCCACGUGUUUCAUACAAACUCCCUUGAGUUAGUAUGACUUUGCACAUGGAACCCAUGGGGAGGCAUGAAGAGAUCAUUGCACCUGCCUGAGGACUUAACAGACCUUUCCUCCCACCAAUCGCCUGCUAAUCCCAGAAUCCACGCCCUACACCUUUUCUAAGAAAAUUAUUGCCUUAAAGUCAGCAUAAGACAAAUUUGAGCUGGACUCCUGUCUCCUUGUUAACUUGCAAUACAAACCUUUCCUUUUCUCAAAAAUCUGAUGUCAUAGUAUUGGCUUCUAGCACAUUGGGUGAAGAGCUCUUUUGCUGGGUAGUGCCACCACUGUACCUACUGUGGUCCACCAUGUGUGCCACUCAGAUGCCCUGCAUUCAUUUUGUUUGUUUUGUUUUUGAGACAGAGUCUCCCUCUGUUGCCCAGGCUGGAGUGCAGUGGUACCAUCUUGGCUCACUGCAACCUCUGCCUCCUGAGUUCAAGUGAUUCUCCUGCCUCAGCCUCUGGAGUAGCUGGGACUAUAGGCAUGUGCCACCAUACUCAGCUAUUUUUUGUAUUUUUAGUAGAAAUGAGGUUUCACCAUGUUGGCUAAGCUGGUCUCGAACUCCUAACCUCAAGUGAUCUGCCCGCCUCUGCCUCCCAAAGUGUUGGGAUUACAGGCGUGAGCCACUGUGCCCGGCCCCAGGAUUCUUAAAGUAAGUGCCCUCAGGAUCCAGGUUGGUCCCGUUGCCUGGAGAAACUGACAAGAGGAAGAUCAGUGGGACAAACUGUAGACAGCCCUUUCCACCUGAACAAGUCUCAGAGAUGCAAUUGAUGCUUAUCACACUCCUUUACUUGCACCUUCCAGAUUCCCUUUACCCUUGACUAGGGUGAAAAUUCUAGAUUUCCUUCUCACCUAGAUCCUGCUGGUCUAGGUGGCUUACCUGGAGAGCUGCUCCAGAUCCUUAUGCCUACGGGGUCUUCACCAUGCCCUUCUCAGGACAUAGCUGGUGAAAUUUUUUUAUCUUUUUCUUUUUUGGAGACAGAGUCUCGCUCUGUUGCCCAGGCUGGAGUGCAGUGGCGCGAUCUCGGCUCACUGCAAGCUCCGCCUCCUGGGUUCACGCCAUUCUCCUGCGUCAGCCUCCCAAGUAGCUGGGACUACAGGCGCCUGCCAACGCGCCCAGUUAAUUUUUUUGUAUUUUUUGUAGAGACAGGGUUUCACCAUGUUAGCCAGGCUGGUCUCGAUCUCCUGACCUUGUGAUGUGCCCACCUCGGCCUCCCAAAGUGCUGGGAUUACAAGCGUGACCCACCACGCCUGGCCAAAAUUUUUUUAUCUUUAAAAUUGGGGAAAGAAUAGUAAGAGACAUCCCAAUGGAUUCCGUGAAUGCCAAAUGUUUUCCUCCCUGCACUCAUCAUGUAACAGCAGCCUCAGAUUCUAUGGAUGAUAGCAUUAAUUACCUAAGUCAGUAUGGUGACUUCUUUCCUUGUGUGCUGGUCUCAUAGAAGUCACAGUUUAACAUCCGAUGAGACUCUUACUGUGUCUCUUGGUGGAAGUGUUUCCCUCUGGGAACCAAGUCCUUUAGGUUACUUCUCUUUUUUCUUUUUUUUUAGAUGAAGUCUUACUCUGUCACCCAGGCUAGAGUGCAGUGGCAUGAUCUCGGCUCACUGCAAUCUCCGCCUCCCGGGUUCAAGAGAUUCUCCUGCCUCAGCCUCCUGAGUAGCUGGGAUUACAGGCGCCCACCACUGUGCCUGGCUAAUUUUGUAUUUUUAGUAGAGACGGGGUUUCACCAUGUUGGCCAGGCUGGUCUCAAACUCCUGACCUCGUGAUCCACCGACCUCGGCCUCCCAAAGUGCUGGGAUUACAGGGGUAAGCCACUGCGCCUGGCCAGGUUAAUUAUUUCUUUUGCUUUCCUCCCCAAUGGCUCUGUUCCUCAUCCUAUACAGGAAACACUGGUGUUGGCAACUAUGUUAGGCUUCAUCGGGGAGUAUCAGUGCAUGGACACCACCCCAGGGUAGCUGAGCAACUGAUAGAAUUCCUGGGCUUGGAUAUGAACUUUCCAUCCAGGUGAUGGGCAUGAGUAGAUUCUGAGAAGCAAAAGGAGUGACCAAUACUGGGUAUCUUCCAUUCGCCCCAGCAGAUUCACCUCCUCUACCCUGCUGUACUUGGGAUGAUUAGUUACUAUGAAUGCUAUCAACGAACUCCCUUACCUUAUUGGCUUUUGGUUGAGUUUGGCAAAUGGGGAACCCAAAUAUGAUAUAAGAAGAAUGAAGGACAAGGAGGGCUGGCCCUGGCUAUUUCUUUCUCUUUUUUGGUGGUGGUGGGGGGGUGGGGAUGGAGUUUCACUCUGUCACCCAGGCUGGAGUGCAAUGGCAUGAUCUUGGCUCAUUGCAACCUCCACCUACCGGGUUCAAGCAAUUCUCCUGCCUCAGCCUCCUGAAUAGCUGGGACUACAGGCGCAUGCCACCACACCCGGCUAGUUUUUGUAUUUUCAGUAGAGAAUGGGUUUCAUCAUGUUGGCCAGGCUGGUCUUGAACUCCUGAUCUCAAGUGAUCCACCCACCUCGGCCUCCCAAAGUGCCAGAAUUAUAGGUGUGAGCCACUGUGCCUGGCCGACCCUUACUAUUUCUUGCAGAACUCGAGGCUGGAUGUUGCCCCUCACUGACCUCCUGUCAGCUCCUGGAAUGCAGCCCUCUCCUCGCUUGAACAACAACUUGCAGUUCUCUUCCUUUGUCCCUUCAGGCUUAUGGGUGUCCUACGAUCUGCCAUUUGUUUGGAAGCUGGAGAACCAAGAAAGCUGGUAGUCUUGCUCCAGUCCAAGCUCAAAGACCUGAAAACAGGGGAGCCAACAGUGUAAACCCCAGUGUGAAGUCCAAAGGCUUGAGAACCAGGAGGGCCAAUGGUGUAAGUUGCGAGUCUGAGUCUGAAGGCUGGAGAACCAGAAGCACCCGUAUCUGAGGUGGGGAGAAGACCGAUGUUCCAUUUCAAGUACCUUUUGUGGUUUCCCUACAUCCUGUUCACAAUUCUGUGAGGAGCCCCUUGAUAUAAACUGCGCUUGAAUCAUCCCAGUUGACGUGUGUGUCAACUGUUUCCUGCUGGGACUCUUGAUAUUCCAACUUCCUGAACAUGUAAGGAAAAGCCCUAACAAUGACCUAUAAAACCCCACAAGAUCAGGAUCUGCAUCUCCGAUUACCCUCUAAUCCCUGAAUCCCUAUUUUACCUGAGUCAUACUGGCCUCUGUGCUGUGGGUCUUUGCAUGCCAACAGUCCUCUUGCCACAAGUUCCUACUCAAUAGUCUCUCCUCAAAUGCACCUUAACUGGGGGCCUUUUCCUUCCUAUGCUACAUAAAAUGGAAAGUCCCCAGCCCUCCGUAACUCUCUCACAAUGCUUUAUUUUUCUGCACAACAUGAAUAUUGUUGAUUUUUCUUUUUCGAUGGAGUCUUGCUCUGUUGCCCAGGCUGGAGUGCAGUGGCGCGAUCUCGGCUCAUUGCAACCUCCACCUCCCAGGAUGAAGCGAUUCUCCUGCCUCAGCCUCCUGAUUAGCUGAGCGCACCACCACACCCAGCUAAUUUUUUUGUAUUUUUAGUAGAGAUGGCGUUUCACCAUGUUGGUCAGGCCGGUCUCAAACUCCUGACCUCAUGAUCUGCCCCAGCCUCCCAAAGUAUUGGAAUUACAGGCGUGAGUCACAGCGCCCGGCCAUGUUGUUGAUUUUUCUAUAAUUCACCCCUCCCCGUUAGGAUGUAAGUGCCUCAAUGGCAAAACUUGAGUUUCAUUCACUGCUCUAGACAUGGCAUCUCAAACAGUGCUUAGCCACAUGGAAUGUACUCAAUGAACAGGCUAGUGGUUAUGAGAAUCACCUGUCUGGAUUCCAAUCUGUGCUCUACCACUUACUAGCUGGUGAACUCAGGCAAGCAACCUAGACAUUUCCAUGCCAGUUUUCCCAUCUGUAAGUUGGAGACAGUAAUAGCACAGUUUGCAAGCUUAUAGUGAGGACGCAGUUAAUAUUUAUAAGGCACUUUGAAGAGCGCCUGGUCUAUAGGAUGGGCUAGCGAAAUGUUUGAUCUCUUUUUGUUAAUAUAUUUUCAUAUUACAAUUAUUUGGUAUGAAAAGGUAUGGCCCCUACUGAAAAUAAAUAAAUUCACAGGAGAAUAUCUAAACCUCUACGCACCUAGUUACAUUACACAUAAACAUAUAUAAAGUAAAAAUGACAGAAUUACAGAAAGAAUUUGUUAAUCUACCAUGCUAGUGGAAGACUUUAAUAUACCUCUAUCACUAAGUCAGGUCGAGAGAAACAAAUACAGUACAAAUUGAAAAACACAGUUUGAGUACGUAUGUCCAUCCUGUAUCCAAAAAUUAGAUACAUAGUAUACUGUUUUCAGAGAAUCAUGGAGCACUUAUAAAAACAGAUCAAUAAACAGGAUUAACAGAUAAUGCAUUCACCUGGAAGCUAACACAACACCCCCCAACCAAACACACACACACACACACACACUCUCUCUCUCUCUCUCUUUGGUUUUAACCAAUUAGUGGUUACUUGUGAUCAUGUAAGAAGUCUAGUAAUAUGCAGAACAGAGCCAAUGCAGCCAAUCAAAGGUUUUUGAAGAACUCAAAUCAUUGUGAUUUUUCGGCACUGUUUCUUUCUUUUUUUUUUUUUUUGAGAUGGAGUUUUGCUCUUGUUGCCCAGGCUGGAGUGCAGUGGGUCAACCUUGGCUCACUGCAACCUCUGCCCAGUUUGAAGCAAUUCUCCUGCCUCAGCCUUCCAAGUAGCUGAGAUUACAGGCAUGCGCCAACAUGCUCGGUUAAUUUUGUAUUUUUAGGAGAGACAGGUUUUCUCCAUGUUGAUCAGGCUGGUCUCGAACUCCCCACCUCAGGUGAUCCGCCUGCCUUGGCCUCCCAAAGUGGUGGGAUUACAGGCGUGAGCCACCACGCCCAGCCCCUGCACUGUGGUUUUUAUCACCACAGUGAAGAAAAAAAAAAAAAAAAAAAAAAAAGCUCUUUUAACUCUAUGCUUUGUGUCCACUUUCCAAAAGAAUGAAAAGAAAAUAGAUGAGAAUAAGCCAGACGGUGUCUCACCCAGUGCGUUAUUCCUACUUCUUUUAGCCAGCAGAGUGGGAUAAAGCCUGUCUAAGCUUCAGGAAAGCCUAGUACACUGUACAUCUUUUUUUGAGAUGGAGUCUCACUCUGUCGCCCAAGCUGGAGUGUGGUUGUGCAAUCUCGGCUCACUGCAACCUCCGCUUCCCAGGCUCAAGCGAUUCUCCUGCCUCAGCCUCCCAAGUAGCUGGGAUUACAGGCACCUGUCAUCACGCCCAGCUAAUUUUUGUAUUUUUUUUAGUAGAGACGAGGUUUCACCACGUUGGCCAAGCUAGUCUUGAACUCCUGACCUCAGGUGGUCCGCCUGCCUCGGCCUCCCAAAGUGCUGGGAUUACAGGCAUGAGCCAUGGCGCCUGGCCCCACUGUACAUUUUCAAUACUGCUCAUUGACAACUUAUCUUUUUCUUUAAGUAGGGAGAAUGAACAUUAAGAAACAGUAUUUGUGCCGGGCAUGGUGGCUCACGCCUGUAAUCCCAGUGCUUUGGGAGGCCGAGGCAGGUGGAUCACGAGGUCAGGAGAUUGAGACCAUACUGGCUAACACAGUGAAACCCCAUUUCUACUAAAAAUAUGAAAAAUUAGCCGGGCAUGGUGAUGGGCACCUGUAGUCCCAGCUACUCGGGAGGCUGAGGCAGGAGGAUGGCGUGAAUCUGGGAGGCAGAGCUUGCAGUGAGCCACAAUCGCGCCACUGCAUUCUAGCCUGGACAACAGAGCAAGACUCCGUCUCAAAAAAAAAAAAAAAAAAAAAAAGAAACAGUAUUUGCUAUAUUAGGACACAAAGAGAAAACAACCAAAAUCACAAAGUCCAUGUACUCUGGCAAAAUACUAUUAAAUUAGAAAAAAAUAUAUCAAAUAUUGUCUGAUUUUUUUUUUUUUGAGACAGAGUUGCACUCUUUUGCCCAGGCUGGAGUGAAGUGGCAUGAUCUUGGCUCACUGCAACCUCCAUUUCCCGGGUUCAAGUGAUUCUCCUUCCUCAGCCUCUUGAGUAGCUGGGAUUAUAGAUGCCUGCCACCACACCCGGCUAAUUUUUGUAUUUUUUAGUAGAAGCGGGGUUUCACCAUGUUGGCCAGGCUGGUCUCAAGCUCCUUACCUCCGGUGAUCUGCCCGCCUCAGCCUCCCAAAAUGCUAGGUUUAUAGGUGUGAGCCACCACACCUGGCAAAUGUCUAAUUUCUAUUAUAACAAACUAGAUCACUCAGGAGCUGUUUGGAAAUACCUUUCUGAAUAUUUGGUGUAUUGAUGUUUUAGAAUUAUAAUAAAUACACUGUAUAUAAAACGAGGUAGUAAGAUUUUCAGGACCACUAUAGCCAUAAAUGUUUAUAUUAAAAGACUGAAAAUGAACGAGCUAGUGGCCCAACCUACAAAUGAGACAUUGAUGAAGGUAAUUCCACAUUCAUAGCACUUACACCUUUUGUUCUAAGUUACUGCGUGGCCACUCAGUUAAGAGAUGAGGCAUCCUAACAUUGAUUACGUUCCUAGGGCUUCCUCUAAAUGAAUUCUCUCAUGCAUAAAGGGAGGAAUCACUGAAAAUUUUUCUGAAAUUAAUACACUCGUGAGUAUUGCAUCCAAGGAACAUUUACAUAUUUUUCCUAAUAUAAGAGGUAUCACUGAAAACAUUCCCUCAUCCUUUAUCUUAAGAAGUUCUGGCUGAGAGUGGUAGCUCGUUCCUGUAUUCCCAGCAUUUUGGGAGGCUGAGGCAGGUGGAUCACUUGAGCCCAGGAGUUUGAGAGCAGCCUGGGAAACAUGGUGAAUCCCCAUCUUUACAAAAACUAGACAGGCAUGGUGGUGCAUGCCUAC
rnacentral:lncRNA from 10 species